rnacentral:rRNA from 1 species
AUGGAGUGCAACCCUAAGAUUAUUUUCUGGAAUGUCCGUGGCCUCAACUCAGGUGCCAAGCGUGCUGCCGUCCGUAGUAUCAUCUCCUCGGACCCCCAGGUCGUCGUCUGCCUUCAAGAAACAAAGCUUGAGCUCUUCACCCCUAUCUUCUCGGAGACACUGGGCCUGACCUUUGAUGCCUUCUUCUUCUUGCCUGCGGUGGGCACGUGCGGUGGCAUCCUUCUUGCAUGGCGU